AUAUGAGCUACUUAGAUUUUAUAUUAACACAUUUCUGAUUGUUGGGAGCUGUUUUUUGCUCAUUGUUUUAUGAAAAUCAAUGUUUGAUUGCGAAACGCAACAGGCAUUGCUGCAAAAGGGUCCUUGCUGCAGAACCAAUCAAAACUCGUAACAACAUCACGUGACUUGAUGUCUCCCAACGGCAUUCCUCCAACUCAGGAACUAGAAAGUAAAUAUUGCCUCCGCUCUAUUGACAACAAUGGACUUUGUUUGCAUUUGAUGCUCAACCUUGGACGACACUACAGAUAUCUUCUCGGCCUAAUCUAAUCUCACCUAGCCUGGGGGGUUUAUCGUAAUCUUGCAAGAUUAGAUCUUGAGCUGGACACCCCUGCACUGUGGUUACACAUCACAAAAUCAACAUUCUGUUGAUUCCUGUCUAUUCCAGGCUAGAUCUGACCUUGACUCAUACAUGCUGUGUCCAUGUUACAUGAUUAAUACACAUCUCUCACACCCAUAUUGAUAUCUUUCCCCUGAAGAGACAAACCAGGGCAAAUUUCACGGCCAGUCCAGUAAAAUAAAAUACAGUCAUGUGUCAUAUGUUUAAAAUAAAGUAAAUUUGGUACAGACCUUUUUCGGUCUUUGUCAUUCAUUCCUUCCUCUUGCGGGCAGCCUCUAUGUUCCGUGUGUUUGCAAAUUGCACGUAGCAUUCUCUGUGGUGACCUGCAUUAGCUAGUACAUCUGGAAUCGGGCUGUUAACUGUUAAAUUUAAUGUUUUAACAGAAAAUUGUGCUAUUGCACUCUCUGGGACAUCUACCGUUUUUUUCCGUAUAUAAUGCGCAACAUUUAACUACCGUAUUUUGCGCCCUAUUAGGCGCACCGGGGUAUAAGGCGCACCUUCAAUGAACGGCCCAUUUUAAAACUUUGUCCAUAUAUAAGGCGGACCGGAUUAUAAAGCGCAUGAAAUAGAAGCUUUACUGCAACAAACUGAGGUUGACUAGGGUUGCAGUAUGCACCCACUAGCCAAUAACCAACGAGCCUUCUGUAAACAAUCCCGUUUCUCAAACGAUCUCCUAUAAAAUGAUCAGAACUGACUAAAGUUCGAUCUAACGCAUUGGUACUACUUACCUAUGUUUCCCUUCCAUAUUAAUCCGUAGAUUUACUCGAAACAUGAACAGAGCAGCCUAUUUUGACAUGAAAUAGCCUCGCGCGUAUAGCAGCUAUCGUUAUAGCAUUAGCCAUCCGCAAUUUCCUAUGAGCCUCAGCUCGCAAUCUCCCAUGAGCCUCAGCAAAGUGUAAACAAUCGCGUUUCUCAAACGAUCUCCUAUAAAAUGAUCAGAACUGACUAAAGUUCGAUCUAACGCAUUGGUACUACUUACCUAUGUUUCCCUUCCAUAUCGAUCUGUAGAUUUACUCGAAACAUUAACAGAGCAGCCUAUUUUGACAUGAAAUAGCCUCGCGCGUAUAGCAGCUAUCGUUAUAGCAUUAGCCAUCCGCAAUUUCCUAUGAGCCUCAGCUCGCAAUCUCCCAUGAGCCUCAGCAAAGUGUAAACAAUCGCGUUUCUCAAACAAUCUCCUAUAAAAUGAUCAGGACUGACUAAAGUUCGAUCUAACGCAUUGGUACUACUUACCUAUGUUUCCCUUCCAUAUCGAUCCGUAGAUUUACUCGAAACAUUAACGGAGCAGCCUAUUUUGAAAUGAAAUAGCCUCGCGGGUACAACAGCUAUUCGGUGACGCUCCCUGACUACAGUUACCGUAAUGUUGGGAAGCGAUGCGACCUUGUAAUUUACUAGUCGUACUAAAACGUACUGAGGUUAAUUUUGGGUUCUAUGCGUCAAUGUAUGUCACCUUAAAUGGCAACCUUGCAGCAGUGAGAAGACCCUAAGCUAUUUUUGCGGUACAGAGAAGCUCUAGUUUCAGUAAUGUGUAGGUACUUAGAAUAUGGAAGGGCCAUUCGUCCGUGACCAGGAAGAUCUUUGUCCAUGCCCUUUUACGGGCAUCGGAAGUAACCAGUAGAGUGAGACUCGGACCGCAGCUGUUGUCUUACGAGGUACAAAUGAUGGGGGAGAACAGACAGAAGGGGAGCGGGAAGAGCAAGAAGCGCGGAAGGCGUGCAGAGGGGCGAAGGACAAGAGCAGGCGCGCAGGGGCGCAUGGGGCAAGAGCAAGAAGCGCGAGGGCCUUUUUGGGGCGAACAUCUGUGCUGUCGAGAGCUGAAACAUCUUUGCUCUUGGGGCCACUCUAACUUUUGGAGAGACAUCACUUUGACAUCAGUUGAAUAUAUAUUUUCCCAAUCAGCCGUGUGUCACCGAAGUGCUUCCUUACCCGGACCAGCCAUCGUCCACUGAGUGUUUUUUUUGGAGACCAGCGAAACAACAAAGACCAUUCACCACAGUACCAAAACAUUUUGGCAGAGCACUGUGUACAACCAGUAUGGAUCAACAAAUUCAUCACUUGAUCCAUAUACCGUUUUUUUCCGUGUAUAGUGCGCAAAAUUUAACGAAUUUAUUGUCCUAAAAUCUGGGGUGCGCAUUAUACAUGGGUACAAAUUUUUUUUUUAUUUAUUUUAUUUUUAUAUAUAAAAAAAGCUCUAUUUCCCUCUUUGACAGCCAAAUCGAUUGCUUUUAACUGAAAAGCUGCAUCAAAUGCAUUUCUUUGUGUUUUCCAUGAGGGUGUGUGCAUGAUGCGCGAAAUGUUCAAAACACAAACUAGGACGUCUUCUUCGGCGCAUUAUUUCUCGCUGACAGACGAAGAAGAAAUAAUAAUAAUAAUAAUAAUAAUAAUAAUAAUAAGAAGAAGAAGAAGAAGAAGAAGCAAUCCUGCUAGAGCGCCCCCUGGAGGCCGUAAAAAUCCAUAAAUACGCCACGCCGCCAUUUAAGCCUCAGGGUUCAAAGUAACCUUCUGAAUAAAAUGCAUUAAAAGUUCACGUUCAUUACAACUUGUUUUUGGUGAGCAAAAUGUCAGAAGAAUUUAAUUUAAAUGCUGACUGAUUAGGUUUUAAUACAAUGCAGAUGGUCCAAACAGCGCCACUGCUUUGUGUAGUCUCUGAGUCACAUGGCAGAGUAAGAGAAAGGGUUUAGAGCCCUUUGACGCAGGUCACCUAGCGUACAGUCCUACUAAAGCUCAUAAUAGUCACAAGUAACACAGCCAGAAUAAGCAGCAGCAAUAGUAGUGUUUCAAAAUAGUAUUUUUGUUGUUGUUUUUCUCUUCAAGAUACCGCAGUGUAUAAAAGUGAAUUUUAUUUUAUUUUUUGCCAUUUUUCACAUGUUAGUCACCUAAAUGUUGAACAGAGGGUGUGUUUUACCGAAGUCAAAUUCCUUGUUUGGCACGCUCAAACAUGGCGAGUAAAAAACUCUUGAAUCUUCAAGUGAUCAAGUCAUCACAAAAAUCACGAAAAAAUCCUUAAAUACCGUUUUUUUCCGUGUAUAGUGCGCAAAAUUUAACGAAUUUAUUGUCCUAAAAUCUGGGGUGCGCAUUAUACAUGGGUACAAACAUUUUUAAUUUUUUUUUUUUAAUGUUUUUUUUUUUUUUUUUCUUUUUUUUUAGAAAACAAAACCAACAACAGGACUGACCGACAAAGUCGUGGAACAAAAAGACAGGGUGACAUUACCAAAGACAGGAACAGAAAGCAAACAGACAUCAUGACAGUAACACAUGCAGUGAUCCGACGGUGAGCGAGGGGCAGACAGGACUUAAAUACAAAACACGUUACAUGGAUUGAGGUGACACAGGAAGAGAGGGGCGACGCAAACAGAAACUAUGGCAACCUACACACAUAGCAAAACUGGGGACGAGACGUGACAAAUGUCCCUCGAAAUGAAACUUGAAAUCACCAAGUUUUGGUUUCCAGGGUUUUUUUAUUCCUCUUCAACGUCUCUCCCAUACAGAGCCGCCUUUUUCACGUCCGCACGCCUCUUUCCCGUGCGCGCACGGAGCGCGGUGGUGCGUUUAUGGGCAGUCGGAGAAAUCAACGCCAACAAAAAAAAUUACAUCCAGCCUAGUUAAGACCAUACCAAAGACUAUAAAAAUGGGACCCAUUGCCUCCCUGCGUGUGUGACGAUCAUUGGGACUUAAAAAAAAAAAGAAUAAAUAAAAAAUUCAUAAAAAAAAAAUUCAUAAAAAUUGGGUGCGUAUUAUACAUGGGUACAGGCUUUUUUCCAGCAUCAGCAUGCCAUUUUUAGGGUGCGUAUUAUACAUGGGGGCGCACUAUACACGGAAAAAAAACGGUAUAAGGCGCACCGGACUAUAAGGCGCACUGUCGACUUUUGAUAAAAAUUUAAGUUUUUAGGUGCGCCUUAUAGGGCGGAAAAUACGGUAAUUUAUUGUCCUAAAAUCUGGGGUGCGCAUUAUAUAUGGGUACAAAUAUAUAUAUAUAUAUAUAUUUUUUUAAAUUUUAUUUAUUUAUUUAUUUUUUACAGAAAAUCAUGGUACAACAAAACCAACAACAGGACUGACCGACAAAGUCGUGGAACAAAAAGACAGGGUGACAUUACCAAAGACAGGAACAGAAACCAAACAGACAUCAUGACAGUAACACAUGCAAUGAUCCGACGGUGAGCGAGGGGCAGACAGGACUUAAAUACAAAACACGUUACAUUGAUUGAGGUGACACAGGAAGGGAGGGGCGACGCGAACAGAAACUAU